AAGUUAUUAUCUCAGUAUGAUAAUAUUGAGAGAGAAGUAAAAGCUUUGGUGACUGAGUUGAAACAGUAGGCGAUGUGAAGGAUUGAUUCUCCUGAGUAAGAAUGAAGGAAGGGAAGGAURACUAUGAAACAAGAAGAUGGUGGAACUCCUUCAGGCUACCUCCUGGAAGAUCAAGCCCCUCCCCCAGAGAGGAUUGUGGGAACACACACUGGUGAUUGUGGUUCUGCUGCUGAUGACCUGGUAUUCAGCAUAUGCUCUGUGGGUGAUUAGGGAGGGGAUUAUUCUAUCACAGAGCAAGAAGUCACAGUGCCUAUGGAAACUACCAAGCAGCAGGCUUAAACCAA